rnacentral:rRNA from 1 species
GGUUUAAUUCGAUGAUACGCGAGGAACCUUACCCGGGCUUGAAUUGCAGAGGAAGGAUUUGGAGACAAUGACGCCCUUCGGGGUCGUCUGUGAAGGUGCUGCAUGGUUGUCGUCAGCUCGUGCCGUGAGGUGUCGGCUUAAGUGCCAUAACGAGCGCAACCCCUCUCCUUAGUUGCCAUCAGGUAAAGCUGGGCACUCUGGGGACACUGCCACCGUAAGGUGUGA